UGUAGAAUUCAAUGUUUGAUGUAAUGUAAUAAAGUUGAAAUUUGGACCGUUUUUGUUCAAUGUGGACCAAUUUGGUAACAUGUAUAAAUAAUCAAAAAUCUAAAUACAUGGGAGCCCAUUUAAAUACAUCAUAAAGGUAUUAAAAUAGAAAGUGACAUCAUAGUCAUGGCUAAAAAUAAACAAAAAUCCUUAAUCAGCAACAUUUAAAGUAAUAUCUAAAAAUAAAAUUCCUUUGUAACCAUAAAAGCCCAUUUAAAUACAUCAUAAAGAUAUUAAAAUAGAAAAUGACAUCAUAGUCAUGGCUAAACAUAGCAAAAAACCCUUAAUCAGCAUCAUUUAACAGUAAUAUCUAAAAAUGGAAAUUACAUCAUAAAGGUAUUAAAAUAGAAAAUGACAUCAUAGUCAUGGCUAAAAAUAAACAAAAUCCGUAAUCAGCAUCAGCAACAUUUUAUAGUAAUAUCUAAAAAUAAAAUUCCUUUGUAACCAUAAAAGCCCAUUUAAAUACAUCAUAACAGAUAUUAAAAUAGAAAAUGACAUCAUAGUCAUGGCUAAACAUAGCAAAAACCUUAAUCAGCAUCAUUUAACAGUAAUAUCUAAAAAUAAAAAUUUCUUUGCAACCAUAAAAGUAAAAUAGAUAAAAUGCUUCGCUGGGGCGCAGCUUGAUACGACCGCAGAGGUCGAACCCUGAACAGUUGGGGCAAGUAUGGACACAAAAUUCAAGCUUGAUACAGCUAUGACUUUGGAUUGUCAUUACAUAUUUGACACAGCAUAGGUUUCUGACACAGGAUGAAUGUGGUGUAAGAACUGGAAAAAAUUUAAUUUACCUAUUAUGGUGGAAUAUCCAUAAACUAAAUUGUUUGUUAAUUACAAUAUAUCAAAGAAUAUGUAGAAUUCAAUGUUUGAUGUAAUGUAAUAAAGUUGAAAUUUGGACCGUUUUUGUUCAAUGUGGACCAAUUUGGUAACAUGUAUAAAUAAUCAAAAAUCUAAAUACAUGGGAGCCCAUUUAAAUACAUCAUUAAGGUAUUAAAAUAGAAAGUGACAUCAUAGUCAUGGCUAAAAAUAAACAAAAAUCUUUAAUCAGCAACAUUUAAAGUAAUAUCUAAAAAUAAAAUUCCUUUGUAACCAUAAAAGCCCAUUUAAAUACAUCAUAAAGAUAUUAAAAUAGAAAAUGACAUCCUAGUCAUGGCUAAACAUAGCUAAAAACCCUUAAUCAGCAUCAUUUAACAGUAAUAUCUAAAAAUGGAAAUUACAUCAUAAAGCUAUUAAAAUAGAAAAUGACAUCAUAGUCAUGGCUAAAAAUAAACAAAAUCCUUAAUCAGCAUCAGCAACAUUUUAUAGUAAUAUCUAAAAAAAAAAUUCCUUUGUAACCAUAAAAGCCCAUUUAAAUACAUCAUAACAGAUAUUAAAAUAGAAAAUGACAUCAUAGUCAUGGCUAAACAUAGCAAAAACCUUAAUCAGCAUCAUUUAACAGUAAUAUCUAAAAAUAAAAAUUUCUUUGCAACCAUAAAAGUAAAAUAGAAAAUGACAUCAUAAUCAUAGCUAAAAAUAAACAAAAUUUUUUUUUAUUGGCAAACUUUAAAUGGAGUUUAUUAUACUAAAACAAUAAAUUUGCAACCAUAAACAUGAUAAAACCCCAUUUAAACACAUCAUAAAAGUAUUAAAUAAUUCAACUACAUCAUAAGGCUAUAAAAAUAGAAGAUGACUUCAUAGUCAAGGCUAAAGGUAAACAAAAAACCUUCAUCAGCAAAAUUUUAUAUUGGCAAAUUUCCAAUGAAGUUUAUUACACUAAAAUUGUUGGCAAAUUUCCAAUGCAUUUAUUAACAAUAAAGUUAUUGGCAAAUUUCCAAUUUACAUAAUUUAAAAGCAGUGUAGAUGAGAUAUUUAAAUGAGUUUGAAUUACCAACCUUACACUGCUUUUAAAUAAUGUUCUUUACUCAAUUAUUUGUCUAUUAAAAUGGAAACCCUUGUUUUUUAACCUUUUUUCCCCUUAUUCCUUAAACAUUAGAGCCAUAACCA